UACGAAGGGGGCUAGCGUUAAUCGGAAUUACUGGGCGUAAAGCGUGCGCAGGCGGUUGUGCAAGACAGAUGUGAAAUCCCCGGGCUUAACCUGGGAAUUGCAUUUGUGACUGCACGGCUAGAGUGUGUCAGAGGGGGGUAGAAUUCCACGUGUAGCAGUGAAAUGCGUAGAUAUGUGGAGGAAUACCGAUGGCGAAGGCAGCCCCCUGGGAUAACACUGACGCUCAUGCACGAAAGCGUGGGGAGCAAACAGG
rnacentral:rRNA from 1 species